GAGCAGUACAUGUGAAAAGGAUCUAGGAGUCUUGGUUGACCACAAACUUGACAUGAACCAACAGUGUGACACGGCAGCUAAAAAAGCCAAUGCAAUUCUGGGCUGCAUCAAUAGGAGUAUAGCAUCUAGAUCAAGGGAAGUAAUAGUGCCACUGUAUUCUGCUCUGGUCAGACCUCACCUGGAGUACUGUGUCCAGUUCUGGGCACCACAGUUCAAGAAGGACACUGACAAACUGGAACGUGUCCAGAGUAGGGCAACCAAAAUGGUCAAAGGCCUGGAAACAAUGCCUUAUGAGGAACGGCUAAGGGAGCUGGGCAUGUUUAGCCUGGAGAAGAGGAGGUUAAGGGGUGAUAUGAUAGCCAU